GCUAUGCAUGCAGUCGAACGGGCAAAGGGGCUUCGGCCCCGGAGCUAGUGGCAGACGGCUGAGUAACACGUAAGUGAUCUGCCCCGGAGCGGGGGAUAAUCCGGAGAAAUUCGGUCUAAUACCCCGUACGUUCAUAUGGUCAAGGCUAUAUGAAGAAAGGUUUCGACCGCUCUGGGAGGAGCUUGCGGCCUAUCAGGUAGUUGGCGGGGUAAUGGCCCACCAAGCCGAAGACGGGUAACCGAUGUGAGAGCAUGAUCGGUCAGAGGGGGACUGAGACACGGCCCCCACUCCUACGGGAGGCAGCAGCAGGGAAUCUUGCGCAAUGGGCGAAAGCCUGACGCAGCGACACCGCGUGGGGGAAGAAGGCCUUAGGGUUGUAAACCCCUUUUCUGUGGGAAGAGAUAGGACGGUACCACAGGAAUAAGCAUCGGCUAACUACGUGCCAGCAGCCGCGGUAAUACGUAGGAUGCAAGCGUUGUCCGGAUUUACUGGGCGUAAAGGGUGUGUAGGCGGCAUGUUAAGUCUCAUGUGAAAUCUCCCGGCUCAACUGGGAGCGGUCAUGGGAAACUGGCAAGCUUGAGGGCAGCAGAGGAAAGCGGAAUUCCGGGAGUAGUGGUGGAAUGCGUAGAUACCCGGAGGAACACCAGAGGCGAAGGCGGCUUUCUGGGCUGUGCCUGACGCUGAGACACGAAAGCGUGGGGAGCAAACCGGAUUAGAUACCCGGGUAGUCCACGCCCUAAACGAUGGAUACUAGAUAUGGGGGGUAUCGACCCCUCCCGUGUCGGAGUUAACGCGAUAAGUAUCCCGCCUGGGGAGUACGGCCGCAAGGCUAAAACUCAAAGGAAUUGACGGGUCCCCGCACAAGCGGCGGAGCGUGUGGUUUAAUUCGAUGAUAAGCGAAGAACCUUACCUGGGCUUGACAUGCACUUGACAGCCCGUGAAAGCGGGUCUUCUUUC
rnacentral:rRNA from 1 species